rnacentral:piRNA from 1 species
UCCAAGCCUGCUGGGGAAUACAGCCCAAUU